UUGGAGGGCAAGUCUGGUGCCAGCAGCCGCGGUAAUUCCAGCUCCAAUAGCGUAUAUUAAAGUUGUUGCAGUUAAAAAGCUCGUAGUUGAAUUUCGGGAUCAAUUUAUUGGUCGUGCCAACGGUACGCACUGGUACAAUUGGUUUCUCCCUUCUGACGAAGCAUGAUGUCAUUAAUUUGAUGUCGUGGGGAAUCAGGACUGUUACUUUGAAAAAAUUAGAGUGUUUAAAGCAGGCUUUGGCUUGAAUACAUUAGCAUGGAAUAAUGAAAUAGGACGUUUGAUCUUAUUUCGUUGGUUUCUAAGAUCGACGUAAUGAUUAAUAGGGAUAGUUGGGGGCAUUAGUAUUCAAUUGUCAGAGGUGAAAUUCUUGGAUUUAUUGAAGACUAACUACUGCGAAAGCAUUUGCCAAGGAUGUUUUCAUUAAUCAAGAACGAAAGUUAGGGGAUCGAAGACGAUCAGAUACCGUCGUAGUCUUAACCAUAAACUAUGCCGACUAGGGAUCGGAUGAUGUUAAUGUUUUAAUGACUCAUUCGGCGCCUUACGGGAAAC
rnacentral:rRNA from 1 species